CCUACGGGAGGCUGCAGUGGGGAAUAUUGGGCAAUGGAGGCAACUCUGACCCAGCAACGCCGCGUGAAUGAUGAAGGUCUUCGGAUUGUACAGUUCUUUUCUAAGGGAAGAAGAAAGUGACGGUACCUUAGGAAUAAGCCUCGGCUAACUACGUGCCAGCAGCCGCGGUAAUCCGUAGGAGGCAAGCGUUAGCCGGAAUGACUGGGCGUAAAGGGUUCGUAGGUGGUUCAGCAAGUUAGUAGCGUAACUCCGGGGCUCAACCUCGGCACUACUACUACAACUGUUGGACUUGAGUGAAGGAGGGGCAACUGGAAGUCCUAGUGUAGCGGUGGAAUGCGUAGAUAUUAGGAGGA
rnacentral:rRNA from 1 species